UGGGGAAUAUUGCACAAUGGGCGCAAGCCUGAUGCAGCCAUGCCGAGUGUAUGAAGAAGGCCUUCGGGUUGUAAAGUACUUUCAGCGGGGAGGAAGGAGUUGUGGUUAAUAACCUCAGCAAUUGACGUUACCCGCAGAAGAAGCACCGGCUAACUCCGUGCCAGCAGCCGCGGUAAUACGGAGGGUGCAAGCGUUAAUCGGAAUUACUGGGCGUAAAGCGCACGCAGGCGGUCUGUCAAGUCGGAUGUGAAAUCCCCGGGCUCAACCUGGGAACUGCAUCCGAAACUGGCAGGCUUGAGUCUUGUAGAGGGGGGUAGAAUUCCAGGUGUAGCGGUGAAAUGCGUAGAGAUCUGGAGGAAUACCGGUGGCGAAGGCGGCCCCCUGGACAAAGACUGACGCUCAGGUGCGAAAGCGUGGGGAGCAAACA
rnacentral:rRNA from 1 species